UCUUCGUACGGUACGUCUUUGUUUUUGAGGAUUUGUCAGCCCUUGCUUUUUAUGUUCGUUGUAAUUGAUAGCAAAUUUUUUGUAUAAAAAGAAUUUAGACAUUCAAGCUUUAACGUAUUUGAUGAAUCAAGCCGAACCAAUCUAUUGGGACUUUGCACCAACAGAUGCUUGGUGUUCCAGACGGAAAUCUACAAAGCAGGUGAGACAAAAAAAAAUGAUUGUAUUUUAUAUAAAAAUAUAACCAUUUUAUAGUUACAUUUAUAACCAUAGAUUAUAUCAUUGGUGCACAAGAAUAGUGAAACAACUCAAAACAAAUAGUUCUUCCAAAACAGCCAUUUAAAAGUUUCGUUUAUUUUUGCAAGGCUUUGUCAUGAUCUUGGAUUUUUAAAAUUUUCAAUCUUUUUUGGAAAUAAAGAUUUGAAAACUAUUAGAUCACAACUCAAAAAAAUAGUUUUGAAAGAAUUAUUUUUUUGAGUUGUGUCACUAUUCUUGUGCACAAUGAUAUACAUGAAAAUAUAAAAGUCAAAGAAUAAAAAUAGUUAUAUUUUUUAUUAAAAUAUAGCCAUUUUAUUUGAUUAAAUAUUACAUUCACGUAUAACAUUUUAUUGAGGUGUAUGUUGACCUUACUAAUUACAUUAGAGAGAUUUUUUGAAUUGAGAAUUUUGUAUUUGAUAUUUGUCAGUGAAGCUACCUAAAUGAAAUGAUUCUUUCAAAAACAAUAGAAUAUGGAGUAAAAUUAUUAACUUGAAAAUUUCAUUAUAGGUAUAUAGAUUUGUUUGUUUUGCAUUUAUUUUUAAUAAGACAUUGAAAAACAUUUGUAAUUACAAAUAACAAAUUUCUGAUUUCUUUUUUUACGAAUGAUUAUGAUUUAAAAUUUUAAUGCACUAAUACAAUUAAUAAAUAUUUCUUUGGGAAUUAUUUUGUUUAAAAUUGAAUAAAUAAGUGCAGAAUGCUAAUCUGCUCAUAUCAAUAUUCGUUUUAUUAAUAAAAUUGUAACAACUUAAGAAUUAGAAAUUUUGUUAUACUGUAUAUACGUUCAUAAUAUAAAUGCAAUUUUCCUGUAAAACAUCCUAAAUGAAAAUUUUGUACAAUGAACUAAAGAACAUAUUCUAAUACAAAUCCAGCAAAUUUAAGAUAAUAAUCGUAAGUAUUAGUAAAUACAUUCUGAAAAUGAGUUAGGCAAAUUAAAAUUUAAUUACUCAAUGAUAUAAUAAGUUUUUUUUAAACUUACGAACACUUUUUUAUCAAUAUCAAAGUAUCUAUUUUUCUUUUACAGUUUAAAUAUAAAUAGUAAGUAAAUUUAUUAACCAAAUAGCUGGUUGGAUUUAAGGAGAUUGAUUUCUAAUAUAAUUAAAUAAUUAAUUAAAUUUCAGUCUAAACCUGGUGUAAAUGAAUGAGCUGUAAUAAGCUUAUAUAAAUCAUAAAAUAUUUAAAAUUAAUAGUUAUGUGCAAAAAUAGGCAUUUGAGGUUAAUGAUGAAGAUUUAUUAUUUAAAAUUCAAUAAAAUAUAGUAAUAUUAAUGAUAAAAAAAGAGCUUAGUUUAAAUUAAUUGAUUAUUAAGUUAUUUUUGCUGGAUAUAUUUAGGCAUGCUUUGAAUUUUAGUUUAUUAGUCACUGUUCAUUAUUUCAAUGUUAUUCCAAAAUUGUGUAAUAUUCAAAUGUACCUAAAUGUAGUGAUAAAUUUACAAGUUGUAAACAAAGAUUACAUAUAUGUAUUCAAAUAUUUGUAGUUCUUGACUUCAAAUUAUAAUUGAAUAUUAUCAUUUUGUACAAAAUGUAAAUAAUGUAAAGUGUACUCAUCAAAUUGAGAAAUAUAAGGCCUAUAUUAGGUUGAAUUUGUUCAAUUCUUGUAAUUCAUUGUAUCAAUGUAUUGAAGACUAUUUAUGUACUGUGCAAUAAAUAUUACUUUUAAAACAUUUUA